CUUUUGUUGUGUCAAGGUUUUCAGUAAUCUAAUUUCCUGGUUCCACCCAAGUGUAGUUCCUUCCUAAGGGAAUGUUUCCUGACAGAACAGGCAUGAUGUUGCAAAGUGAAAUUCAGGCAGGUGUGCCAACCAUCUUCAAUUUCUGGACACUGAACACCUGUGGGCCUACAGGACCAUACACUCCUGCUUGUAAAAAUUUCUAUUUCUGAAUAACAGUUAUCUAAUUUGUCAUGAUGGAGCUGUACUGGAAUGAAUCCUCUGAGGACUUCAUGCAAGGGAGCAGUUGCA